CAUGAAGGGGGAGUAUUUGCAGGGCACUGCCGUGCCAAAUGGAAGACGGCGUGUUCGCUGCCGGAUGAAAUUUGGGAUGAAAGACAGCAACCACAAUCCCUAAUCUCAUCUCAGAACUGCCAGAGGAGAACUGUAGAAACUACUUGGACUGCUGCAAAGUCUGGCCACAAAAAUGGGCAAGAUGGUCCUGCAUACACCAAAACAGUAUGGGGUUUUUUCCAGUUCUGAAGAGAAAUUGAGAAGAAAUACCAGCCUUUCAGACUUGGCACUUUCUAUUUAAUAUGUGCAAUAUGUGAAUAUACCUAAAUCAAAUCAACAGUAUCUUUUCUUUUUUUUUUUUUUUGUGAGAAAUGUUCUGAAUAGUUAAUUUAUUCUGCUUUACUCUAUUUGCUAUAUUUCAAACAGGAAAAAUUUAGUAAGAACUAGUAUACUGGCCUGCAGUAUAGAAACAGGAUAAACACGGAAAUAAUUUGUACAGAAAUAUAAACAAGAAUGGCAGAGUGUCAGCAACUGCUUGAAUAGAAAUCCUAAGGCAGCUAUAGCAGAAGUCUCUUUCCUUACAUUCUUUGCAUAGCAUAAAACAGUCUGUGUAGUUUGAGAAGAUUUGUGCAUGUGUCUCAUUACUUCUCUCCAAAAUAUGACCAAACCUUUAUAGCUGGUUACCUUUGAAUUAGAUAACAUCACUGGUGCUCUGUAAGAUCUUUUCUUGGUUGUUGAUUUUGGAUAGCAGAUUUACAUGUGGACUGCACCUGUUUGAUACUUACUUUAGCUUAGGCUUAGGCCAUAGAUACAGGAGUCUCAUGGAAUGAAGGAGGGAGAUACAACGCUCAGAGGUUCCUAAAAAAUUUCAGGCCCGGCUGCCUGAAGAUAAUAUGCUUGAAAGGGUGGUGUGUUUGUUUGUUUUUCCCAGUUCCAUUGGUUUAGAAACUGUAACACCUGGAGCACAGCACUUCUGAUCCAU
rnacentral:lncRNA from 1 species